rnacentral:tRNA from 1 species
AAUUAGGUGGCUGAUAAAAGUAAUAAAUUGUAAAUUUAUAAAUAAGAAUAUUCUUCCUUAUUA